rnacentral:rRNA from 1 species
AGUGAACGCUGGCGGUAGGCCUAACACAUGCCAGUCGAACGGCAGCACAGUAAGAGCUUGCUCUUACGGGUGGCGAGUGGCGGACGGGUGAGGAAUGCAUCGGAAUCUACUUUUUCGUGGGGGAUAACGUAGGGAGACUUACGCUAAUACCGCAUACGACCUACGGGUGAAAGCAGGAGAUCUUCGGACCUUGCGCGAUUGAAUGAGCCGAUGUCGGAUUAGCUAGUUGGCGGGGUAAAGGCCCACCAAGGCGACGAUCCGUAGCUGGUCUGAGAGGAUGAUCAGCCACACUGGAACUGAGACACGGUCCAGACUCCUACGGGAGGCAGCAGUGGGGAAUAUUGGACAAUGGGCGGAAGCCUGAUCCAGCCAUACCGCGUGGGUGAAGAAGGCCUUCGGGUUGUAAAGCCCUUUUGUUGGGAAAGAAAAGCAGCAGGUUAAUACCCCGCUGUUCUGACGGUACCCAAAGAAUAGGCACCGGCUAACUUCGUG